rnacentral:lncRNA from 1 species
CCCUCUCCCCCUCCACCGGCGACCCCUCCACCUCCGGCGUCCCCCUCCCCCUCCGGCGACAGUUUCACACCAUUGGCACCACCGACGAGCCGCCGGUAGCUACAGGUAAGUACCCCCUCUCUCUCUUCUCGGAACCGUUAACAGUGGUCUCUCACGGUGGUCUUUCUUCGACACCUCCUAAACCACCGAGACAUACAUCGUCAGGCGCACAACCCCUGCGAGUUUCGUCGCCGGAAGCUGCCUCACGCGCCGCCGACGACCGCCCACGCGCCGCCACUGACACCCACGCGCCGC